CAACAGUCCGCGUCGUUUUUAUUUUCUCCGAGAAAAAAAGAAACAUCGUCCUCUCAUCGUCGCCCCGCCUCCCUUCGUCGUUCCUGGCUGGUGGGCUUCUUCUUCUCCGAGUAUUCACUAUGUACACAAGCCUCCGCCCAGGGGUACCAUGCAUACGGGGACUCCAGAGAGGCACCGCCGCCAUGGGAAUCAGCCAUCAUGGGGCCUCCAGUCGCGGAGAGAGACAGCCGGCCGCCGCGGGGUUGCAUCCACGCGCUCCUCCAUCGCCGCCGCCACCCCUGCCACAUCCAUGGUUGAGGAGGCGACGCGGCUCCGCCUAACUGCGGUGGCAUGGCUCCAAGGUAAUUUGUGCCUUGUCAUCUUCCCCGUCUAGGAUUUCUGUAAUUGAAGGUGAGCAAUUCUACCUGUCUAAGAUCUAGAAAUGUGCAGUAGAAUUAAAGCUAGAAAUUUUAGUGGUUUCAGCAUUGAUCUUAAAAUGUGCAGUGAAAUCUUACAAGCCGAUUGAUCCAUUGACCUGUCACUUUUUCUAAAAUCUGGAAAAAAAAAUAAUUCCUAUGAUUUCGAUCUUUUUCCUGUUUUUGCUCUAACCAGUUUUGUUUCCCUACUACGUGCAUCGACUUGCCAUUUUGGCCAACCUGACAACUUAAGUCCAGCGAAAGGCAACAACAAAAACGGUGACUGGGAGACAAUCAUUACAUAAGGUGCUUGUCAAGACUAUCAAGGCGUAGCGUCAUUGGCGUGUACAUCUCACUGAAUCAAGGAAACCAACACAUAUUCAUCCUGUUGCUUUUCAAUUUGUCAGCACGUUCAGGGUACUAACCAAGCCUAUUUCACUGAAUGUUUGGGACUUGAUUCUUCUAAGAAGCAAUUUUGUGCUGAUCAUGAUACACACUUAAAACACUGCUGGAGAGGGAGGCGCCCACCCUCAUUUUUAGUAGGUAGAAGGUGAUAAUCGAAUCUUGGUUGGCUGGGUGAUUGUACACCCUCACUAGCCAAGUCAUCUCAGGGAGAUUCUUGCUUGUUCAGCUGAUUUUUUUUCCUUAUACAAAUACUGCAUGUACAUAUCCCUAUUCAUCCGCUUUCAAUAAAAAGUCAUGUUGUUUUAAGGCACGAGUGCAUUACAUUCCAGAUUGAUUCUUGAUUUUCUACCUUUUGCCAGUGUUUUAAGUUCAAUAAAGAAGCACUGCUAUUAUAAAAUCACUUCAUGAUCUGCUAUAAUUAUCUCGUGCAGGUUUUCAGCUGCUUUGGCCAGUACUACAUUGCCUUCCUGAGCUUCAUGCGAGAUGACAUAGAACUAAAGAACUAUAGUUACAGCCUGGAGGUUUGGGGCACCAGGCGCAAGAUGAUCGGUCAAGGGGUGCCCCGGAGCAUGAGUGACAGUCAUUGGAAGGUCCGCAAUAGCUAUGAUGGGAUCAUCAUCCAGAGGAACAUGGCCCUGUUCUUCGUAGGUGGUGACAGGAAGGAGCUCAAGCUGCGUGUCACUGAGAGAAUCUAGAAGGAACAAUAAGUUGAUCAGAUAAUAUAUCUCUUCUGCUCCAACUACUUCCAUGAACUCAUGAAUUACAUUGCAAACAGCUUAUGCCACGCGUAGGAUGAACUCAUGAAUCACACUGUAAAAGAGCUUUUGCCAUGUAUAGUAGUUUGGAAUCAACUUCUUGUGAUUCAUUCUUCUUUUCAGCUUCUUUUAGCAUGCUAUUGCCUUUUGGUUCCUGCAAGGUAGGUGUUGGUGGAUGUACAUCAUGUAGAUGCUGGUAUAGUUGCUAAUGAUGCAGAAUUAGUAUAGAUUUUCUAUGUUAUUUUCCAUGGCGAAAAUGCUAAAAAAAAAAAACU